AUCGUCAACCAACUUCUGCCGCCGAAGAAAGAAACUCUUGAUGCACCAUCGCUCGGAUGAGACCGGCGCCGCAACACCACCUCCAACACAAACACUUUCGGCUCCGCGAUGAAACCGCCGACGCGAGUGGAGAGAGCCGAAGAAACAAGACCCCCGGCGCAAGACCUUCACCGCGCCAGGCAGACCUCUGCCAAUAGUCACGGUCCGCGUACCCGAUCCCUACUGCCCGUCCCGUAACUCCCUGAUUUUCGGAUCCUCCCAGAAGAACGGAUCCGAUGCAACCUUGCGCCGCCGCUCCUCCCUUCCCCUCCUCCCGUGCGCUUCCCUCUCAUCCACCCCGGCGACCGGAUCUCCCUUUCUCCGUUGGACCUCCUAGCAAACGCCGCCGCCCCCUCCCUUCCGAUCCACCCCGAGCCAACCUGCCGCCACCACGCACGCGAGCCACGGUGGGGGACGCGCGAGGAGGAGCAGCGGCUUCCUCCGGGCACACACGUGUUGUUGCCGUCGGCCUCUCCUGGAGCGUCGUUCGCCGUCGCCGCCUGCCGAUUGGCUUCUGCCCCACGGCGGCCACGUCCGGGAACUCGCCCUCCGCCGCUGCCAAGUGGGUGAGAACCAUUGCUAUCGCCCUCUCCCGCCCUGCUCCGACGCGAUCCUGAUGCGCCUGCACGUCCAUUUUCGUACGAAGUACUAAUGGCCAUCGGAUUUAGAUUUCAGGAGCUUUCAAUCGUGGAUGCUUGUUUCCCCUUCCUCUACGUGUUGCCUCUCUGGAGAUAGGAUUGACAUUUUUAAACUGACGGAUUGAUCCAUGUAAUUACGUUUCUAGCUCAAUCUUUCUUUGGUAGUGAAGUCAGAAGAAUAGAUUAGUACUUCUGUGGUUGAGGUUUCAACAUAUUGCUUUCACAGAGGGACGCUGGUGCAGUGGCCAUAUAUAUGGUAAGACGUAUGAAGUAAAAUUAACAGCUGAUGCCUUUUUUGGUCUGCUGAAAUUAAGAGGAGAAAUUGUUAACUGAGAGGUUCUAGCGUGGACUACAAACUAUUCAGCUAUGUUUGAAUGUAGUGCGAGGAAUUAUGCUUCUUGCAGCUGCAGGACCAUGAGAUGUCGACGCUGCACAAUAGGACACACCAAGAUCCCAGCCAAGUCAGUGAUGCUGCCCCAACUCCCUAUUUCUUCAGCUUGAGGAAGCUGCGGCAGCCUGAAUCGCCUUCUGCCUAUUGUUGGCCUAUCCGACCUGCUACUAGGUUCAUGUUUGAUAGGUGAACCUUCUGAUUCCCCCUUCCUGUUCUUCCCUUGUUGUUAUCCAAUUGCUCUUGCUAAUUUAAUGAUUCAAUCAAAUUUCACUGCAAAGCAUACUGUACCAGGCGUUUCUUCUUUCUAAUACAGUGUGAGUUCGCAUCAAGUUGUGAAAUCCAAAUCCAUACAUGUACAAUUCUUGUUGUUCUAAUUACACAAGUAUUUUCUCAUAUUAUAUUUUUUUCAUUAACUAAUGUUCAUACAGAACACCAUCUCAGUAACCUGAUAUAGUAGUUAGUUUUGACAUUUGACGCAACAACUUUGACAUUGAUAAUUUGCUGAUGUUUUUAAUAGGACAUUAAACUUUUCUAGCAUUUCAUUAUGAGUUGCAGGCUCUGAAAACAGAAGUAUCUGCUCCCUAAAUUAUUCUAUGUGUGGUUUCUGAAUCAUACAUGCCGACAUGCUUUGGCAAUCAUUAUUCAACGGAAUUCCUUUUCAGUGAAAUCAGAAUCACGUAAUGCCUACGAUUUAAUCUGGUCAUCUAGACAACUAAACGGGUUAAUGUUAUGCUUAGUAUCUUUGGGCAUAUGUUCUGCGGGGAAGCAAGUGUUUUCUGCUUGUUUACAUUUACAGUUGUGUAGACUGAAGACUAGAUUUUCUCAGACUUGUAAGCCAACUAUGUGAGAUUAAUGACAAAUCUAAGUGUAUGGUUUGGCCAUGAUUCCAUUAGAGUAGACUGCUGAGGUUGGUGGUUGAUGCAGAUGUUGAUCUGAUCAUUAUGCAUGUGACACAUUGACAUGGUUUUAAUUUCUUGAAGUAUGCAAGUUCCAAGUAAGAUUUCUUGAUGCAUGCUCCAAAUAUUAAUGAUGUUUGCAUCAAAAACUACCAUAUGGACAUGUGCAACCAUAGGUAUGAUUAACUUAGAGAGGAAUUGCAUCAGUUUAAGUUUUGAACUGCAGGGGCAUGAGACUUCAGCAUGCUCUGUACAUUAGAAGGGAGUUGAGGGGCAGAACUGAAGGUAGGCCUGGCUGUAGUUAUCCACUGUGAAAGCAAGAUCAUGUUGUACAGGCAUGCAGCUCUAAAAAAUACAGUGGAUGCCUCCAUCUGAGUGCUCUAGCCCUCCUCUGCAAUUACGAGGUUGGGUGCGUACUCUGCAGAUGAUGAUGGUUCAGCAGAGGAGGCAGAGGCUUCAGAAUCAUGGGUGAACCAAGCAGUAGGAGGCCGCUGUGCAAUAAAAGGGCCCGUAUGAUGAACGCCAUUGGUACAGAAUCUCGAUCACAACGGACCCAUAUUGUCAGCGCACAUCAGAGCAGGCCUACUAAUACCGGAUGGAAUCAGUUUUAUUACUCCACAGACGUGGAUAAUCGGCCAUGACUAAAGAUGGGGUAACAAAUAUUAUGGAUAUAAGACGGCAGCAUAAACUUUGCAAUUUUGUGAUUUCUGAUUCGGUAGAUUUUUGCCAUGCGGAUGUCCAGUGAUUCUGGCUAUAUGCACUGGAGUUUAAUCCAUGCAUGUGAACACAUUAAGGUACGCAUCAAAGGCGCUCGCUCGCGCGUGCCACGUAGGAUCGAUCGUCGCGCAAGGGGCGUGCGCUCGCGAUGUCCAGGUCGGCAGGCGGCACUGCUGGACAGAGAAAAAAUUGUGCCUGGGCAAAUCCCAACUGAAGGCAGGUCGCAUUGGGUCCCACACGCACGUCUUCCUCUCCCCCGCACGCCUCCUCCUAUUCGUCCUCGCAAAACCUAGCGGCGGCGGGCGGCGGCGUCGGCUUGAUGCGGGAGAUGGCAGUUGCGGCGGCGCCCCAGCCGAUGCCGAGCACACGGGACAUCCGCCUGUCACUUCUUCGCAUUCUUCUCGUCCGCGGCUACACCGUGGGGAAGCAACGGCUGCGGCUUCAUAGGCAGCGGCGGCCGCGGUGUGGACAAUCAGCGGAAAGUAGGCAGGGAAGGUCUGAUUGUGGAGCCACGCCGGAUGAAGCAACAGCGGCACAUGAGCUUUCUGGCGCAGGUCAUCUUUCUCUCCUUUGUCCUCCCCCAUUCCCCUCCUUCUAGAUACUCGUUGCUUAAGAUGUACGAGUGGGUGGCCAGCUGCAAUGUCUAGAUGGAAGACCUCUGGUUCGGAUCAUUUUGGGUUCUUGAUUCCUUUUUCUCAAUGGUUAUAUGUAAUUAGUAGAACAUUACAAUUUUUUUUUACAACAUGUUUGCGGCUGAAUGCAUUGAGUUGCUGGAACUGUGGUAUUAGAUGACAACCAUUAUUCAGUGCACUCUUGAUUGUCUUACCAAUGGUCCAAAAGAAAUGCACAACCGGUGAAAUUGACCGUGGUUUUGAUUUACUUUUCUUACAAUAGAGUAAAUUUCAUUAUUUUCGAGUUUGGACAUACUUCUAUCGGUUUGUUUUCCUUUUAUAGAUGUAGUCAGACGCAACGACUACAUAUUGUUGUACGGGUGGAAUGUUUGUAUUUGACCUGAUUUGUUAACUUUUUACUCAAUUUUGCUUUCAGUUUCAAUAAGUUUCAGAAGUCAGUUGUCUGAAUUUUAUGACUGCGAUCUGUUCGGACAGUUUCUUAAAUUCUGAACCUUGUGCUCCUGCCUUUGAAGAUUAUGACUCUGCGAUGUGUAUGUCUUGAUUUAAUUCUGUUGAUAUGCUAUACUAUGCUUAGUUUUCUGCAGAAUUCAUUUGAUGAGAUGAUUCCCUGUCAACUGAGGUUGGUAAAUGUACAGACUAGUGCGGGCAUUGCACAGAUGGGAUGUUCUGUAUUUUCGGUUUCUCUGCAAGGAAUUUCUAUAGCUUGAUAUUUUGUUGACAUCUGUCUAUUAUAUUUUGCUGGUCUUAUCCGAACGGAUUAAUGAUUUUGCCAUGUGGGAGCUCAUGCUUACGGAAAGUGCCCAACUUUAAUUUCUCUGUACACACUUCUGCAGAGAAUUAAAAUCGUUUAUUUCUAGUAGUGCGUGCUUCCUUACAACAACUACUGGAUAUGUAUUACAAAAAUAACUUGCUUGAAUUGAUUUAUUAUUGAAAACAAAACAGGACUAUCUGGGCUAGCUGCUUAUUUCUUUUACUUUUCUUUACUUAUUGCAUGUUUGGUGCUUGGAUGCAGAUAGCAAUAGUAGAUUUGUUUACAUAUUAACGAUAAGUUAUUGUGUAUAUUUUUCUUUACGCGUGCCUACCAAGCAGGUUGACUCCACUCUUGAAAAUUGUUUUUGAAUUAUUAUGUAGAGAAGUCGAUGAUCAGGAGUGACUUUGAUUUCAUUCUCUCUUUUAGUCAACUGAGUGAUGUCUCAGUGAGUGGGUGGAGGUGUUGCAAAGUGCCACUUGAUCUUCCCACUUCUAGGCAGGUGUCUGUCCCACAUCUAUGUUGGUGAGGACGACACAAUCACACCGUGUAGGCAAGGAGGCGAUAGCUUAGGAGGCAGGUGAGAGGAAGCAGAAGGUCCUCCUUCAAUGGCGGCACCACGACCUUCCGGAUCAUGCUCAUCAUCAGGCUACGGCCCGGUCGGCCGGAGCAGGCGGAGAGGAGCCCCACCUGCCACUCCCCUCUGCUACCCUGGGGAUGUCUUGUCGUGUUCUCUGACAGGAGAAGGCGAGCUACAACCACACCAGGCGGCCACUAAGAAAGAUGGCUCGUCCCGGUCGCCGAUGCCCACUGACACUUCCGUCGGUGAGAUCCCUCUUCCCAUCUCUCAUUCUCUCUAUUUCUUCCUCCCGGAACCACCCAUGUUCUCCUGCUCUACAGGCGUCUGCAUCACAGGAACUCUGUAGUGCUAGGCUGUUGUUCGAGGUUUUCGCUUCUGCUCUCAUUUUUGGGAGGUCAGUAGAAGAGUAACUUGUGACUGUGUACCUUACUAGGUUCUUUUCAUUGUCCUAAAAUAAUAUAAUAUUUCUGGGUCAGUAAUCAUAAUGGUGUAUCUUGUGACCCCUUCUAAUUACAUGUACAUAAUCAUUGCAGAUUAUGGAAUGGUAGGAUACUCUUAAGCUUCUGAUUGCAGUCCAUAUGUUUGAAUUUUUUAUCCUCACAUAAUCACUCAGUUAUUGAAUUCGACUAUUAUUAGAAGCAUAGCAAAUGCUCAUUCUAUUACUGAAUUUUGCUAGCUCAUGGAUGAAUUUUAUUUUGUUUUGAUGUUUUAAAUAGGGCAGCACUUCAUUGUGCUGUUAAGUGAUCAAACAUUCAAACUAACAAUUAUUUUAAGCUAUGUAAUAGCGACAGCUUAGGACUUUUUACUUCUCAGAGUUCUUUAGGCAAGCCAUGAUUAUCAAUUCCGAAGUAGGUCAGGCCUCUUUGGCUGAUAAGGUUCUGUUUUCUGCAAUAACCUGUUUGGAUAUAACAUCUCCUAAAUGGGUUUCAUGUAAAUGUACAACCUGAAACAAGCAUGUGUGUUCCUGUGAUGUUAAUGGCAUUCUCGUUUGCUUAUUAUACUCUUCAACAUAUGCAUGGUUAAUACCUGCCUCCCCAUCCCAGUCCAUUAUGCGAUUUUUAUUUGUUCUGUUUCCUCCGGGAAUGAACUGAUUCCAGUGAAAUAUUUGCAAGAAUCCUGUUCUAAACUUGAAUAGUAAUGUCUGGGAUUUCGGCUUGGUGGUGAGGUGCUUGAGGUCGUGUCUCCGCGUCAGGACCCUCUUCUUGAGCAUGCCAGUACUUCGUGGUGGCGAGGUCUGUCUCCAAGAGAUUUCACAUAUCCUGCUUGACCGGACAGCGGUGGUUGUGAAGUCUGUCGAGCAGAUGACCAUGGUGGGGAGGCGGGUGUUGAGCUGCUGAUGGAGGCACUACCCAACCCCUAUGCUUUAUGCAUGUUUCUUUGUGAAAAUCGUGAUUGCUGGUGAUGUUCAAGUCGAAUGACAUCUUGAUUAGGUAGAUUGCUUUACUUUUGAACCGCCUGAACUAUCUGUAAUGGAUCAUCUAGAUAUCAUCAUGAUUAAUAUCCUUUCUUCCACUGUCA